GUGAGGAAUAUUGGUCAAUGGGCGGGAGCCUGAACCAGCCAAGUCGCGUGAAGGAAGAAGGAUCUAUGGUUCGUAAACUUCUUUUGCAGGGGAAUAAAGUGCAGGACGUGUCCUGUUUUGUAUGUACCCUGAGAAUAAGGAUCGGCUAACUCCGUGCCAGCAGCCGCGGUAAUUCGGAGGAUCCGAGCGUUAUCCGGAUUUAUUGGGUUUAAAGGGUGCGUAGGUGGUUUGAUAAGUCAGCGGUGAAAGUUUGCAGCUUAACUGUAAAAAUGCCGUUGAAACUGUCGGACUUGAGUGUAAAUGAGGUAGGCGGAAUGCGUGGUGUAGCGGUGAAAUGCAUAGAUAUCACGCAGAACUCCGAUUGCGAAGGCAGCUUACUAAGCUACAACUGACACUGAAGCACGAAAGCGUGGGGAUCAAACAGGAUUAGAUACCCUGGUAGUCC
rnacentral:rRNA from 1 species